UUUCGCCUCUUUAAACUCCGUGUAGUUCUGCCCUGGUAAACGGGACGGGUCCAUCCCCGGCUCGCACGCUCCCUUACAUGCUCAAUCCACACAGGUGUGCACUUUCAUCAGUUUUCGACUGCACGGUGUCACCGGUAUUUGUCCCCGUCUUCAUUGUAGCAGUCGCUCUGGAGCACUGCAUUUCUUUCUCCACCCGAAAGCUCUACUGUCAUAAUCCUCUGACAAUCCUCCUUGUUCGGGGAGUGAGAUAUCAUCUGGUCAAGUUUUAUACAUUUAACAUUCAUUUUAUAUGUGAGUAGAAUAACUAACUGCUUUUUCGUGCUCCUUUCUUUGUAGGAAGAAGCAGAAGUUUUAACCAUCUUCCCAUGGCGUCUGACUUUUUUGAGAAGGAGGACUUUCAGCCACUUGAUCGAAGGGAAAUAAGAGGUUUGUUUCAAGACUCUUAUGUCGCUCAUCAGUUCUGUUAACAAACGUGGGGCUUGAGGAUACAUUUGCUGCUUCUUUGCAUUUUUGCUGAAGGAAGGACCUUGCUGUCUCCCAGCUCCUGUGGGCAUUAGGUUUCAUGGAGGUCUCUUGGGAAGAGGGCAGCUCUGUAGAGCCUAAGUUUCCAAAGUAAUUUUAAAGAUUGCACCCAAGACAGAAGUAGUGAGAUCCACAGUGGGGAAAAUGAACCCAGCAGUCCAUCCUGUCCUGUACCUGCCGGAAUAUGGGAAGAGACCUAGUAUAAAGCCAGAGUGCAGCUGGGCUUGCAGUCUUUUUAACCAUAUUAAGUCCUGUUCAGAGUUAAUGAUGAGCUCAGUGAGAUGGUCUCAGCAAUGCUGAAGAAGGGAAGGAUAGAAUUGGAAGGCAGGAGCUAUUUCAAAGCAGGAUUCUUCAUCUUUCUGUAAUGCCCAAAUAUGAAGACUUUAUAAACUUCAUUAGAUCCUGCCGUCAAUGACUGAGCUUCCCUGAAAUCUUCUUACCAGUUACUGCCAAGAUGAGGAGGAUAACAGGAAGGAGGAGUUCUUAAGUGGCUUUAAUGACAGUUAAUUUCAUCUAUUUAUCAAAUGACAGGUUGUUUUUUCCUCAAAACUUGAUUGUCAUGGCAAGAUGCUUUUGGAAGUCAUUUUUGUAAAAUAAAACUGACAGUUUUUAGGCUACAAAGAGCUAUUGUGUCUUUCUAUAGAAUGUUGUCAUUAUGGUAAACUGCUGGAAAUUCUUUAUUUUUUAAGUAAUUUGACUUGCAUACUUUGUUAAUUUAUUUGAAUGUCUGUUGAAUGCCAUUUGAAAAGUUUCUUCCCAGAGUUCUUUUAUUCAAUGGAGUAGUAAUUGUAACAAUGCUC